AUUAAAAUCUGGUUAAUGGCGCAGCGGGGGCCCAGGGCUAUGGCAGGCUCCCUGCCUACCAUAGGUCCACGCAGCUCCGGGAAGUGGCUGCCA